rnacentral:tRNA from 1 species
UGCGGGAUAGAGCAGUCUGGUAGCUCGUUAGGCUCAUAACCUGAAGGUCGAUAGUUCAAAUCUAUCUCCCGCAACCA